GGAAAUCUGCCCUGCACUCUGGGACAAGCCUUGGAAACGAGGUCUAAUACCGGAUAUGACUGCUGACCGCAUGGUCGGUGGUGGAAAGCUCCGGCGGUGCAGGAUGAUCCCGCGGCCUAUCAGCUUGUUGGUGGGGUAAUGGCCUACCAAGGCGACGACGGGUAGCCGGCCUGAGAGGGCGACCGGCCACACUGGGACUGAGACACGGCCCAGACUCCUACGGGAGGCAGCAGUGGGGAAUAUUGCACAAUGGGCGAAAGCCUGAUGCAGCGACGCCGCGUGAGGGAUGAAGGCCUUCGGGUUGUAAACCUCUUUCAGCAGGGAAGAAGCGAGAGUGACGGUACCUGCAGAAGAAGCGCCGGCUAACUACGUGCCAGCAGCCGCGGUAAUACGUAGGGCGCAAGCGUUGUCCGGAAUUAUUGGGCGUAAAGAGCUCGUAGGCGGCUUGUCGCGUCGGAUGUGAAAGCCCGGGGCUUAACCCCGGGUCUGC
rnacentral:rRNA from 1 species